AUUGAACGCUGGCGGCAUGCCUUACACAUGCAAGUCGAACGGCAGCGGGGACUUCGGUCCGCCGGCGAGUGGCGAACGGGUGAGUAAUGUAUCGGAACGUACCAUUGAGUGGGGGAUAACUAUCCGAAAGGAUAGCUAAUACCGCAUAUUCUCUCCGGAGGAAAGCAGGGGACCGCAAGGCCUUGCGCUCAUUGAGCGGCCGAUAUCAGAUUAGCUAGUUGGUGAGGUAAAGGCUCACCAAGGCGACGAUCUGUAGCGGGUCUGAGAGGAUGAUCCGCCACCCUGGAACUGAGACACGGUCCAGACUCCUACGGGAGGCGGCAGUGGGGAAUUAUGGACAAUGGGGGCAACCCUGAUCCAGCCAUGCCGCGUGAGUGAAGAAGGCCUUCGGGUUGUAAAGCUCUUUCGGCCGGGAAAAAAUCGCAUGGGCUAAUACCCUGUGUGGAUGAUGGUACCGGAAUAAGAAGCACCGGCUAACUACGUGCCAGCAGCCGCGGUAACAC
rnacentral:rRNA from 1 species